rnacentral:snoRNA from 1 species
UGGCUAUGAUUAAUUGGUUAUCCGCGCUUCUGAGAUUUAUGAUACUUGAAGUAUGAAGUUGAAUAAUGGUUGAAUUUCUUGAUAUGAGCUG